UACGUAGGGCGCAAGCGUUGUCCGGAAUUAUUGGGCGUAAAGAGCUCGUAGGCGGUUUGUCGCGUCUGCUGUGAAAACUCAGGGCUUAACUCUGAGCUUGCAGUGGGUACGGGCAGACUUGAGUGCGGUAGGGGAGACUGGAAUUCCUGGUGUAGCGGUGAAAUGCGCAGAUAUCAGGAGGAACACCGGUGGCGAAGGCGGGUCUCUGGGCCGUAACUGACGCUGAGGAGCGAAAGCAUGGGGAGCGAACAGG
rnacentral:rRNA from 1 species